rnacentral:rRNA from 1 species
GACGAACGCUGGCGGCAUGCCUAAUACAUGCAAGUCGAGCGAACAGAUGAAGUGCUUGCACUUCUGACGUUAGCGGCGAACGGGUGAGUAACACGUAAGGAAUCUACCUAUAAGCGGGGGAUAACAUUCGGAAACGGGUGCUAAUACCGCAUAAUAUCUUCUUCCGCAUGGAAGAAGAUUGAAAGACGGCUCUGCUGUCACUUAUAGAUGACCUUGCGGUGCAUUAGUUAGUUGGGGGGGUAACGGCCUACCAAGACGAUGAUGCAUAGCCGACCUGAGAAGGUGAUCGGCCACAUUGGGACUGAGACACGGCCCAAACUCCUACGGGAGGCAGCAGUAGGGAAUCUUCCGCAAUGGGCGAAAGCCUGACGGAGCAAUGCCGCGUGAGUGAAGAAGGCCUUCGGGUCGUAAAACUCUGUUAUAAGAGAAGAACAAAUUGUAGAGUAACUGCUACAGCCUUGACGGUAUCUUAUCAGAAAGCCACGGCUAACUACGUGCCAGCCGCCGCUGUAA